AAUCCUAUCCCUGGUUCCCCAAACCCCUCCCUGGACCCCCAAAUUCCCCCCUGGACCCCCCAGCCCCAUCACACUCCAGGUUUUUUUGGGAUUAACGUUUAUUCUGGCCAAACAAGCGUGAGGGGCCGGGCUGGGAGGCAGCAGCCUCGUGCCCCCCUUCCCUGGUUAACAGAAACACCCCAAAAAUGGCCCAAAAGCCUCAAAUCCCCCCGAAAAAAAAGCUGGAUUAGGAAUUUGGGAGGGAUGGAGGGAGUUAGAGAGGGUCUGGGGGAGCUCAGUCACCGCUUUGGGGGUCCCCAAAGCCCCCCCAGGUUGGCAGGGUGGGGGGCUCACGGCUCGGCACAGAUUUGGGGGCUCAGCACCAGCUGCGGCAGCUGGAAUUUGGGGGUCCCCUCGGGCCGGAGCCCCCCGGGAUCGCAGCGGGAGGAGAUGCCCCCGAUGGCGAGGGGGAUCUGGGGGUCCCCGGGGCACAGCUCCACAUCGGGGAACCGCAUCCUCCCCAAUUUGGGGGGCUCCGGAGAGGCCCCCGCGGGGGUGAAACCCACCCUGGGCACCCAGCGGCGCCGCCGGGGGUUCCCAUCGCGGGCGGCUCCUCCUUCCUCGGGCACGGGCUUGGAGCCGCCCCUCCUCAUCCUCGCCGAGGAUCCCGCGCCGCUCCCGGAGGAGCCGGCCCCGAAUUUGGGGAGUUUCACCCCAAAGCGGCGCCCGGGCGGCUCCGAGGCGCCGUCCAAGCCCGGCGGCGCCAGCUCCAGCACCGGCACCUUCAGCACCGGCGGCUCCGGAGCCCGGCGCGGCUCGGGGCGCUCCGGUGCCGGUGCCGGUUGCGCUCCCGGCAGGGCGAACCCCACGGCGGGGAUGGGGAUGCGGGGCGGCGCCGGAGCCCCCCGAGAUUUGGGUUUGGCGCGGAGGCUCCCGGGGGGCUCCGGGGCCGUCCAGCCCAGGAUCAGGCUCUCGGCGCUGCCCCCGCGUUUCGGGGGCGCUUUGGGGACCCCGCCGGGGCGGAGGUCGGGGCUGGAGCCCCCGAAUUUGGGCAGCGCCGCGGCCGCGAUGCCGAAGCGCGGGGCGCGGAGCCGGGGGGAGCCCGGGGCGGCCCCGGGGCCGAAUCGCGGCCCGUCCUCGGUGUCACCGAACGGCGCCAGCGACAAUUUGGGCACCUUCAGCUUGGCCCCCGCGUCUCCCACCGCGCCCAGGUCCAGCUCCACGCUGGGGAUGGCGAUGCCGGGGGGCGAUGCCGGAGGGGAGGGGGUCCCGCCGCCCUCCCGCAGCUUGGCCAGCGCCCACCCGAGGCGGGGAAGGCGGAAUUUGGGGGGCUUGGGGGCGAUUUCCACGGCCGGAGCCUCCAGCUCGCGGCUGAGCUUCCGCAGCCCCUCGGCGAAGCGGGAACUCGAGUUCGGGGGGCUCAUCCCGGGGGGCUCCGCGCUGGCGAGGCCGAGCUCCGGCGCCAGCUCCACGGCGGCUUUGGGGACAUCGAUGGGCACCGAGGGGACGCGGAGGGCCGGGAACGCCCCCCGAGCCCCCGGAGCCCCCUCCUCAUUUCCCCCGGGGCCGUCGGGGGUCGCGGCCGGGCCCCCCUUUGCCCACGGGGGCGGGCUCAGCCCCAGGGAGCCCUUGGGGGCCGCCAGCUCCACGCUGGGGAUGCGGGCACCGAGCUCGGGGGGCUCCGGGGGCGCCGUCCGGGCCGCGGCCGCUUCGCGCACGGUCAGGCGGGGCCGCGGCGGCUCCGGGGGCAGCGGGGGCAGCGGGCCGGGGGCGCCGCGGGGCUUGGGCAGCUUGGGCAGCUUGGGAAGGGCGAGCUCCACCGAGAGGGGCGCGGCGGC
ensembl:lncRNA